AAACAAUAACACAGACUUUGAAUGUCCUUGGUGGAGGGCCUCACUAUCCCUGGGGAGGAUUCGGGGUGUGUAGUAGGGUGGGGUGUGUUGGUUGGGGAACAUGGGAGGAUGGGAGGGUGAGAGAAUGGGGGAGAUGGAUAUGUAAACAUGAGUAAUUAAAAAUAAUUAAAAAUGAAAAAAGAAACCAGCUGAUAAGCUGAGGAGAGAAAGUAAGAAGAUAAUUGGCCAAUGCCCAAAUUCAUCCAUCCUAGACAACACGGAGAUUAUAAGUGGAAGAUGACUUUGUCAUAUACAUAUAAGUUGAAAGAAAGAAAUUGUGCUUAUUCAUCUUUUCUGGAGAUACAUUCUGAAGGAAUGUAGAAGAGUAAUCCUAACCAUAAUGUUUUGCCCAGGUAAGUAUACUACAUUUCAGUGGUCUAGUGGAUACCAUGACCAACCAGUACAUCUUUAUAUCUUACAGGCUCAGGGACUGGAACCUGUCAUAACUGUGAAACUUACACAGCACCGACUGCAAAAUGCUGUCUUUAUUAGUUGAGGUAGCGAGUGGAAGUUACUGGCAUACGGUUUGCAAUUUUGUGACCUAAUUAAAGAACUCACUUUCAGUCUUGCAGUCAACCCCAACUUAAAUUAAGCAUAGUGAGGUGAACAGAAUUCUUCUCUUGGCACAAAAUAUUAAUGUAACCUUUGAUCUCUCUGAUCUCUGGUUAUAUUAUAUCAGCGGCAACAAAAAAAAGAACAUUGUAGCUGUAAUGGUUACUUGUUGGGCCUGAGAUGCCUAGAUCAUGCUGCCCAUAUCUGGAAAUAGUUACUUCCAUGGUGGUUGGAACAGAUUUGUAAAUACAUGUUGUCAGUUAGAGAUCCUCAAAAAUAUUGGCAAGAGGGAAUACUGACAGAUCAAAACAAGGCCCGUGGGGUCUUGGGGCUUUGCAUACAGGCAUCAAUAAAAAUUUAUUUACCACCUUUAUAAAGUACUUUGGCAUGACUGGUGGCAGUAGUCAAGUAUUAAUCUAUACAAUUCAAUUAUAUAAUGAGGUAAUUUAAUAAAUUAGAAAAGUCUUAGGGAGCCCUGCUUUGAAUAAGGCACUGUAGUACUUUCCACACAGGAUUAAUGAGUUAAUUCAUGGCCUAUCCAAAAAAUAAUGUGUAUAGUUUUGCAGAAGGAACUUGAAGAGUACAAAAAUCCAGAGUGUAAGGCAGAGAACAAAACUGUAUUUUUUAUUAGUGUUGCAUAUAGAUAGGUAGUCAGUUAGUGCUUGUUUUUCAGCAGAUAAUAUAAGAAAUAGACAGUGCUAAAGAGCUUGUAGCUCCUUCUGUUUACCUGAUUCAGAAUUGCCUUAAUAGGAGGUGACAUCAAGCCCAUGCUUAAAUAGCAGACAGUAGUUUAAACAGGUAGGAGAGCAUUUUAGAAACUGAAACCAAGAAGUGGAAAAGUGUGGCAAUGUUUUUAGGUUGGAUGGAUUACUAUGGGAGCCACUGAAGAGAAGCCUAGAAAGUUCAGGGACGGUGUGGAUUUUAUUGACUAUUAAAGGCAAUAAGGAAUCAUCCAGGGUUUUAAAGGAGAGAAAUAAAGGAUUAUCAGUCUUUGCAUUAUUUCGCUAGUCCAAAUGAUUUUUCCAUUUAACAUUGACCAUAGCCUUUCCAGACCAAAUAAAAAGCUGGAGUACUUUGCAAAUGCAACACCUUUCUCCCUAAGCCAGGAGGGGCACAGUACUGAUUACCUUCCAUUUCCAACGACCUACAUGUCAUUCACUUUGCAUUUCUUUUAUUUUUUAUUAAAUUUAAGUUUUUAAAUUUUAUUUUACAAUUCAACCAAAGUUCUCCCUCCCAUCCCUCCUCCCCCCCAUUACCUCCCCCCCCCCGCUACACCCCCCCACCUACUCCUCCCAACAGGUAAGUAGUCCCAUGGGGAGUAGACAAAAUCUGGCACAUUAAGUUGGGGCAGGACUAAGCCCGUCUCCCACGCAUGAAGGCUGAGUAUGGCAACCCCUCAUAGGGAAUGGGUGUCAACAAGCUAGCUCAUUCACCAGGGAUAGCCCCUGGUCCUACUGCCAGGGUCCCUUCAGAUAAACCAAGCUUCACAAUUGUCUCCUGCCUAUGAAGGGCCUAGUUUCCUAUGGGAAGUAUUUUCCUAAUGAUGAAAAAAUAUUUUAAGCUUGAAGGAAUAUGAAGGAAGAUUGGAAGCUUAAUAACAUAUUAACAUGGGUACCCAAGUUAUUUUGUUUUUAAAAUAAUUUUAAUUACUUUUAAAUUUAAAAAUAUUUUAAAAAUCAAAUGUUUCAUUAUUUUGAUGUGGCUAAUUAUCUUGGUACAACAGACAUAUGGAACAGAAAACAAGGUACUGGGUAUGAAGUUUAAUUUUUGCUGUGUGGUUAACUUGAAUGGACAAAGCACUGAGGUUUUUUUGUUUUUUCUUUAGCAACACAGACACACACACACACACACACACACACACACACACACACACACACACACACACACACACACACCUGAUAAAGGAUGAAAGUAGAAAUAAAGUAUUAUUUCAAAGAAGAAAGGAAGGUAGAAGGGAGGGAGGUAGGAAGAGAGGGAGGGAAGAAAGGAGGAAAGCCCUGAAGGUGAAACCUACUUUUAUUUAAUCAUGUGUGCUAUAAAACUGACUAGAAAGAAGACAAGGUUAAAAGCCAUUGAAACUAAGGCUGGGGAGGGACCAGAGAGAAGAGCAUUCAAAAUGUACAGUUAAUAUGGAAACCAGUGUGUUUGCUGAAGAAACACAGCUCCAUGAUCAGUUGCUUGGGUCUUUUCUCCAUCAAAAUAACUCUUCUUAGAAUCUCUGGUAUAAAAUUUUUAGCUUUCAUUGUCUGACACACAAUACCCUCCAAUAAUCUAUUAUAUUGCACCACAAAAAGGUAUUAUUUUAGUAAGCUGAGUGGUUCAGCAGUUGAAAUUGCAUGGGAUUCAACCUCCUCCUCCUACGGUUCCAACAGAGAUGUGCAGAAGAGGCAUUCCAGAGCAGUGUAUGCUCCUGCUUCUCUAACUUCUGCCAGGUCUGACACCCUGACAAACUGGGUGGAUUAGUGAGGGAUUGUAAGAAACUGUUCCUGAAGAGAAGAACAUGCACCCAAGUUGCAAUGGUUUUCAGAAGUGGUUCUAUCUGUUACCCAUUCCAACCCCAUCGAUUUUUGUCCCAGGCUUCACAUGGUCUGAUUAGUGGAAUGUGUGGUAAGGGUGGAAAUUCCUAAAGGAUAGCUCAACUACAGAAGUAGCAUAUUCCUAUACCUGGAAAGCAUCAUUCUAGCUGAAAAGUCUUGGGAGAAUUGCUAUUUGAAAGGAAAAGAAAGGAAAAAUCUCUCCAUGAAAAAACUGAAUGAGCAACCAGCACCAUGUCUGGGAGCAUCAAGUAUCUGACCAUCUACACCCUGGUUGAGCUGCUAGAGAUCUUCUAUGUGCUCCAAGAGUAUCCUUUCCCCUCCUUUUUUUAAAUUUAGAGAUAGUCUUAUUUUACAUAUCAAUCCCCCCAUUCCCUCUCACUCCUAUCCUCCCAUGCCCCUUACCAACCCCUAUCCCUCUCCAAGGAUGGUGAGGCCUUCCAUGGGAGAUCAUCAAAGUCUGUCACAUCAUUUGGGGGAGGGCCUAGACCCAGCUGCUUGUAUCUGGGCUGAAUUAGUAGCCCUCCAUAGGGAAUGGGCUCCCAAGUAACUUUCAGUGAGUUUCUGAUAUCCCCUGUAGUCCAGGGUGGUACAAUACUGUCUGAUUUUCAGGAUAACUCACCCUGCCUUUGCUCUUACUCAUCUCUGUUUUAGAACCUUUAUCUGCUUUUGUCAAGAAUACUUACAAAGUACCAGAUGCCUUCUUUUUUGCUUUUCCAACAAACCCCACUGUUCCCCAAGAUCGUUUGCAAUCAGUGAAUCUUGUUGAACCGCUAUGCUAAGAGUUAAUCAAUCAAAAGUACAUUUUCUCCUUCUUGGAGAAAAGAAUAUUUAAUUCUGAACUUAAACACAGUGGUCAAGGAAGGAGGUAAAAGGUAAAUCAAACCAGUCUUGCCACUGGUGACCUGUCACAAUAUGAUAAUGGCCUCAAAAUGGUCACAGUAUUAUUGUUUUCUUACAAUAUGAUAAAGGGUACAUUGGAGUGGGUUUUUGUUUCUUUUAGUGUACAUGAGAAAUGAAUGACUAGGAGAGUUUUUUGUGAAGGUUUACUAAACUUUGCAAAGAACACAAAGAAAAUGAAAUCUUCCUUGUGUUAAAUUCAUUUAUCAUAUAAAACUUGGAAUGGUUCUUAUCUGCAUAUUAAAGAGUUUUGUCAUUCUUUUUGUUUCUUUUGUCUGAUUGGCUACUAGAUGAUGUCUUCUAGAAUAAAUGGAAAAAUUUUAAAUUACAGUACUUAAAAAAAUUGCCAGGUACUUUUGUAGCAAAACUGACAAAACAGAGACCAUUAUAUAAGCAGUGGGGGUGUAGGCUACAAGGGCUGAGAGAAAAAUUGUUUCUAUCCACUGCCCUAAAUUUAAACAGACCUACCAGUAUGUGUUUCCUUAGAGAGGGAAGAAUAUAACAUGGUACUGAUGAAUAUUUUCUGGAUUCAAAACAAGGCAGGAUUUUGAUGAAGAGAGAGAAUGCCUGGUCUGCACAUUAUGAGGAAUGGAGAUUUACAUUGUUUACUGUUUGUUGUCUGAGGAAAGGGGAGAUUUGAUGGCUGCUAUUAUUGUGGAAAGGAUGGUGGCCUCCACUCUUUGCUACUCUUUCUUUGACUCACUGUUUUCUCUAAAAUGCACACAUGCAUGUCAAUAGGCAUCUGCUGUAGCCCUCUCACACAAGGAGGAUUCAUGACUAUUAUGACCUGUAUAGUUGUGUCCACAUCAAAAUGCAUACAUUGAAAUAGAAUCUCCAGUAUAAUUGUGUUUAGGGAUGGUACAUAUCAAUGGGAUUUAGUUUAUGAAAAUGGAGAAGUCCUGAACAGGAUCUGUGCCUUCUAAGAAGUCAUAGUGCAAGCUUGGGCUCUUUCUAAAGUAGAUGAGGACUCACUUGUCCAGAACCUUUCCACUCUGCAUCCCGAUUGUGUGUUUGGGUUGCAGUCAUCCAGAAUAAUGUGGAAAACACACACACACACACACACACACACACACACACACACACACACACACACACACGGGGUAGGGGAAGACAGAGAGAGGGAGGGAGAGUUUGUUCUAAUGGUCUUACAACAAUCUAUAACAGCAGGGCAGUUUGGGGGUGUCAACCAUCCAGUGUGUAUUAUGUGCAAAUGUGAUCCAUUCUAACUCACCCAGAGUGAUCCUCAGUAUACCUGGCCCAUGUCAGAACAUCUGAUCACUGCACAAAAAUGAUCAGGAAAUCAUUUCAACAUCUGUGAGCAGUCAUUUGCCCCAUUGCGGGGGUAGUUAGACCCUGAAGGCAAACUUUUUCAGUGACUCAAAGUUGGAAUUCUUGCUUUGACUGUGGCUCCUGCAUUUGUUUUGUUUCUUGAAUAAUUAUGCCCUAGGAAGAAGGGAAGAAAGGGGAGUUAGAGAAUUUGAGGCUUUCUCUGGGAAGAUGGAACUGGAGAAGGAAAGAAUGCCAGUAGUACCUGGAACUGAACACUCCCCACCAAGCCCAGUGCAGCUACUGUGACCAACCAGCUUUCUAGCUGAGGCUCUCUCCAUAGCAGAAGAAGCCUGCUAUGGGAGCAGACACCAUGUAAUCCAGAUGUGGAUCACUACACAAAGGCACCAGAGAAAGUUUUAAGAGCCAGGGAGAGAGAUGCAGACAAAGGAUUGGAAAAUCUUUCAAUAUACUCAGUCUCAGCUCAAGUAUUUCAAAAUGCCAGAUUCUCUACCGGCAUUUACAGUGAAAAUCCAGCAGCAGACCACACUGCCUGACUCUAGAUCCAUGUGGACAUGCUCAGUGUAAUCAAGAAGAGGGUUUGGCAUCUGCAAUCUGACAGCUUUCAUCUUUUGCAGAAGCUGUGUUUGAAAAUCUUGUGAUAUAUGCCCUUUCCUCACAUCUAAACACACAGCAUAGCUUCUCGUCUAUGAAGUGUUUCCAUGUUGGAAUUUCAACAGUCAAGAAGAGAAAUGCCAGGAGAAUUGUUUGUGACAACAAGAUGAUAUGCAAAAUAGUUUUGGAUAUCAGUUCCCUUGGAACGUCUCAAAUGUGAAAGCUUAUUUGUUUGGAAGAGAGGAAUUCUCUUUAGCAGCAAAGAGAGUAACAAAACAGCCAAGGUGGAGUGAACAUGAUUAAAAAGAAAUAGAGUCAGGGAAACAGCAUUAUAUUACAUUUUCCUCUAAAUCUAAGCUACUAUAUCUGUAUAUGAGCAGAGAACAGAAAAGCUGGUAUGCAGAAAGCAGGCGUCCAUCCUAAUAUCCCAACACACUGGAUGUAAGAAAGCACCAGCUACAUGCCAUAAGAUCUAAUUACCACGAAUUGCCUUUCCUGCCCCACAGCAAUCAUUUUGAUGACAGGCUUCUCUGCACUGUAAAACAAAAUGGGAAACCUGUGCUGUAUAAACCACCUCAUGCUUCUUUUCUUCCUCUGCUAUCGGCCUCCCUAUCUCAUUUAUUUUCCACACAUUAAUGGUAGCAGUCACCUUGAGCUGGUGAUGCAGAGUAAUUUUCACAGAAACCUUGAUCAGAAACCAUAAAUCAGUCUGAUGUGCUUUUAUGGUCUAAUAACAUUCCGUUUGCUCCUACAGGUCUGUAUGUAAAACUGCAUUGCAGUGAGUCCUCUGGAUUUUCUUUUUCUUUUUUUGUGUAGCUCAUUCUUGCUCUCAGGCACUUACUCACUCUCCCUCCCUUCAUUCUCCUUCUCCCUCUCAGCCUCUCUAACAUGAUUUCUAGGCACACAUAAGCGCAUACCCAUCAUCAUUGGUAUAGUUCGUGUGUUACAAAACAGCAUUUAACUGCCAUUGUAUACAUGCCAAGGUAGCGGGGAUGCAUACACUUUCAGAAGGGGAAAACGAUGUGUGUUAGAUAACAAUGAAGUAUCUCUGACCGCAGUAGUGAAUGCAUCAGUUGUCCAGGCUGUGCUAUGUCUUGGUCGACUUCAGAAUGAGGUUUGCAUGUGUAUGAUUGUGUUCUGCUGUAUACUGAUUGCCAGAGGCUUGCACUCUUCCCUCAGUCCAGCAGAAAGAGUAUGAUGUGGAGUGGAAUGUAGGCUAGUGGGAUAUCUGGAAGAAGAUCUGUGAUCUCAAGGCAAAGGAGGCAUGAGUUUGAAGUAAAUGCAGUAGGAUAAAGGCAGCAGUGCAAAGGUUGCUAUCUGUUGAAGGUGAGGUCCUGAGCCUGUUAUUCAGUUGCAUCAAUGGCAGGACUGAUAAGCAAGCAUCAGCAUGCCAUCAGGCUACUGUGAAGUAUGUGCAAGUUAGCCAUAGUGAUCACCUACCUUAGCCUGCAGCAUAAUCUGAACAUAUCUGUGUACUUGGCUCAAGGACCAGGAGGAAAAGGCAAACCAGGUAAAAACCAAUCUCCACCAUCUCACCUACUUAUGUGUGUGCUACCUAAAAGUCCUCUGGGUAGGUACAAUGUAAUGGGUAGCCGUUUCCCUUUUAGACAGAAGAAAGAACACUUAUAUCUGUGUUUUCCACAGGAUGGAAACAUCUACAAGUGAAAAAUCAUUCCUGCAUUGCAGUUUGGUGAAUCAGUGCAGGAAAUGAACAAAGACCCUCUGACUCAGGCUGGGAGAGUCAAGCUUUGCUUUGGAAGGGAGGAAAGCUGGCAACAAGCUCUGAUUUUUUUCACUGCUAAUGUAUCGAGUGAUAAUUACUCCCCAGUAGACCUCCAUAAAUUCCAACAUUCUUAACCGGUGCUUCAUGAAUAUACGAAAGGGCUGAAAUGUACCCAGGUGUAUUAAUCAAAAUUUCUAGGACACUCUUCCUUACUUGGUAGUAAGAUACAUCUCCAAUUAUUUAUACCUAUAUCUAUUUUCAUAUCUGCAGGCAUUGCCCUUGUGCAUGUGAGUAGAGUCUUGUAUUGGAUGCUGGCAUAGCAAGCAAUCAUAAGGACAUUCAAAAUGUCAAUGAAAGGAUAACUGUAGAAUGUGGAUGUCAGCUUCAUCUGUAGGGCUCUUUGUUUCCAACUGUAAGUCACAUCAAUCCCCUUGCCUCACAUGCAAUAGUAUUCAAGUUAGGCAGCAGGGCUGUGUUCCUUUUUGUUUAAAUUUAUUUCCUUUAGCAAGAAAAUAUUUUUUCUCCCAUCAUAUCACAGAGUCCUGUCACCAUUGCUGCACCCUGAGUCCUCAGUAACAGUUCAGCACUGAAUUUUCAGAAACUGACAGGCAAUUUCUCCUUUUGCAACAGCUGGGGCUUUUCAGUGCUGCAGUAGCAAAGGCUAAAUGUGAAAAGGAAAUGGGGGUGAACACAAGUCCUUUCUCUCCAGUGUCCACUGCCCUUGGAUUCACAGCCCAGCAUUUGCUGUCUGUGUAGGAACUAUUUCUAAACCCUCAUAGCUGGAGGCAAUGUACACCAGACCAGUGGGGUGGGAGUAAUAAAGGAGAGAUUCAGUAAAGAACAAAUUCUUUUCAGAUUAGCUGAUUGGCAGCUGUGAGUAACUCGGCUCUGGCAGCAAGGCUGGAAAGAGCAGCCUCAACCUUGGUGCUCAUUAUUUAGCUGUAAGCCUUUCCUGCCAGGAACAUUUUUCUCUUUCAAUUCCUAAACUACUUUAACUCCUUAUGAUCCAAUCCUUCAUCAAAAAGAGUGAACUAAAAAGACCUUUAUUGGAACCCCUAGGUUGUAGAUGAGAAUUGACUGCAAGAUACAACUUCCUUUACCAACAAUUCUAAUCAGAGCUGAUAUUAUGUUAGGAAAGUCUGAAUUAACACUAGGUAUAUAAUACUCAUUCUGUGUCAGAUCUGAUAGAUGUCUUGAGGAAAAAAAAGAAGAAAUUAGUAUCAUAUGUAGGUUUUAUAUAUGACUACAUAAAGAAUUUAACCUACUAAGAACAAGAGGGAACAUGAAGUAAUAAUUUACUGAUUCUAAAGGUAUCUCUUCUUGGCAGUCAGGACAAUGCAAUCAACAGAGGUAAUGUUCUUAAAGCCUCCUGAUCUAAACGUAAAAACGUCAUCAGAGCUAACAGGAGGCCACUUUGACUCUGAACUGCUGUAAGAGAAACAUAAGCAAAACUAACCUUUAAAGCCACAGUCUUAUGAUUUAAUCAAAAUAUGUUUAUGUACAUUCAAUUAUGACAUCUAACUGACAGAAAAAGGACUUGUAAAAAUCAUUUGUCUCUCUACGUAUAUCUCUUGGGUGUAUAUUGAUGUAUUUCUACAGAUAUUUAUAAAGAACUUGUUUUUUCCAUGAAGCUCAAAAAUUACAUUAUAAUUUAAAAAUAUUGAUGCCAUUUUUUCUUACUAUAAGAUCAAUAAAUGUUUAAAUAAAGCAUUGAAUAAGGA